rnacentral:lncRNA from 1 species
GGCGGCACUUUGCCGCCUCAGGCCCUGGACACCUUCACCCCGCCGCCUGCCCAGGCGGGCCGGCCCUGCCCGUCCACCGGCCGCCGAGAGUCCCCGGCCUUGGGUCCCCGGGGCCGCUGACUGGCCUCGGUCACCUCCCGGGGAAGGCUCCCGCGCCUCCAUCUGCCCCCGCAGGAAGGGACCCUCUUCUCGCCCGCGAGGCUUCUCCGGGUGGGAUCGUCCUGGCCCCCAGCCCUAAGGGAUCCGCCCCCUCCGAGCAUCCGCCGCCCCUCGGAGACCACUCCAGCUCGGACGGACCCACUCCAGCCCCCGCUGCACGCGGAAGCGCUCAUCCUCCCCGCCUGCCCCGUUCCCUCCCCCUUCUCCUGUGGGACAACCAGGGACCGCAGCUCCCCGCUCCCCAGGUGUGGGGGCUCCGACACGAACGCCUCUGCUCGCAGGGCGGUGAGCGCAGAUCCCACGGGUCCCUCGGUCGGGGGUCGAGGCUGCUUCCGUUUCCAUCCCGGACCCGACAAUGGGCGGGAAAAAGAAGGCUUUACACGACUACGCGGCGGAGUUCACCGACCUGGUGGUGAAGCACCUGAUUGAGCACAGUGACUCUGGGGACACGUCUGUGGUGGAGACCCUUUACUGCAGGGCCUGCGAGCUGCCCGUGCGCGUGCGGAGGGACCGCAUCCUGGAACACCUGUCCUCGGGCAGGCAGCACGGCCUGCGGACGCCCAUUCUCAUGUAAAUGUCAGUGCCAACGCUGGUGUUUCAGGAGUCAUCCCAGCGGGCUGCGGGCUAUUUUAGGAUUCUCUGCCCUGCAAACGUUUCCAAAGUACGUGGACAGGCCGCCUGAUGACACUACGUUUACGGGAUCUGCUAGUGGCUUGCCUACUUAGGGAGUAAACCCUGUGAAGUCUCGCAGUUUUGUUAAAGUGUGCGUGGCCACCUGAAUGCUGCCUUAUCACAAGCCAGAUACAUACUGGUCUGUAGGGUAACUCCCCACUGUUGAUCCUCUGAGAUGAUUGUGGACUGGGUGCUGUGAGUCCUGCCACUUUGUUUAAGUGAAUGUGUCUUUUGUCCAGCUCAGCCGCCUCGGAUCUCGCUGCCACCAGCCUUACUGCACACCCGUGCCACCCGCCCUUGCCCCGUCAGCCUCAGCCUCAGCUCAUUCUCUCAGGCAGUCCCAGCAUUGGCACGGUACCUCCUCCCGCUGUGGGCCACACGUCUCUGCUCCCUGUCAACCCUCCUGCCAUCAGCACCACCACCAGCGACUUGUCUGCCCGGGAGGAUGCAACACCAUCUGCCUCCACCGGCCACCUUUCAGUGUUUCCUGCUUUCCAAGUAAAGAUACCAGCAGUGCCCUCAGAGCAGACCAGCCAGAGUUUUUCUGAAGCCUCCCACAGGGUGCUCCCCGGAGGAGGCCCGAGAUGCUCUCGUGACUUUGGAGCCGGGGUGGCUGGCCACCUUGGCCUGGGCAUCUUUGGGGUGGGCUUCGGGAGCCCGGCACUGCUGCAGAGUGUGGUGGAUGAGAACAGCUGCUGCUUGCUGUACGUGGUGGAGGACCAGCUGUGUGAUGUGGAGCAAGCCUUCAGAGCUGAGCAUUUGGGCCAACACCAGAGUGGUUCGGGAACAGGAUGCAGACAUUGUCCUCAACGACCAGCGAGGCACUUUGAUCCGGUUUUCCAGUUCUUGCACAAGCAAGUUUGUGUCAGCCACGCCCUGGGGAGGAUCCACUGGAUCACCGCCGUCACUGCCUGUUCCCGGCGGCCUCUCCGGCUUCCCUAAAGAGAGCAGUAGCUUCCCUCGAGACCAGAAGCCAGAGCUCACCCUCCCUUGUGUCCAGGUGGGACUUUCUACAACGCUGCUGUGCACGACGUGGAUGCCGUAUGCAUGUUGCUGGGGGAAGCCACUCCGGACACUGUGUUUUCUCUGGGACAUGUCUUCUGCCCAGGUUGCAAAGGUGAAGAAACACAGUCCCGGCUGGAAGUCACAGCCAGGGUGGGAUGCACACAGAUUAGCAGAUCAUCAGCGAGCACCAGGUAGAUAUGGCCGCCUUAAAAGAUGCAGAUGCUGUUGUGAUCAGCAUGAAGUUUCCCUGUGAGGCCGUGGUUAGCGUGGACAUCAGCCAGCACUGCACAGACAGCUGCGACCAGGACGUCAGCCAGCACUGCACAGACAGCUGCGACCAGAGACUGGAGGUGACCCUUGCCCUUUUCCACCCUUCGCCAGUCCACUGUGAAAAGCUGGGUUGAUUGUGCGGGUUAGAUAGAGGUCAUCAGCCGGGUUGAUUGUGUGGGUUAGACAGAGGUCAUCAGCCAGGUUGAUUGUGUGGGUUAGAUAGAGAUCAUCAGCCUGGUAGAUUGUGUGGGUUAGAUAGAGGUCAUCAGCCAGGUUGAUUGUGCGGGUUAGAUAGAGAUCAUCAGCCGGGUUGAUUCUACAGGUUAGAUAGAGGUCGUCAGCCGGGUUGAUUGUGCGGGUUAGAUAGAGAUCAUCAGCCGGGUUGAUUGUGCGGGUUAGAUAGAGGUCAUCAGCUGGGUUGAUUGUGUGGGUUAGAUAGAGAUCAUCAGCUGGGUUGAUUGUGUGGGUUAGAUAGAGGUCGUCAGCUGGGUUGAUUGUGCGGGUUAGAUAGAGGUCAUCAGCCGGGUUGAUUCUACAGGUUAGAUAGAGGUCAUCAGCUGGGUUGAUUGUGCGGGUUAGAGAUCAUCAGCCGGGUUGAUUGUGCGGGUUAGAUAGAGGUCAUCAGCCGGGUUGAUUGUGCGGGUUAGAUAGAGAUCAUCAGCUGGGUUGAUUCUGCAGGUUAGAUAGAGGUCAUCAGCUGGGUUGACUAUGUGGGUUAGAUAGAGGUCGUCAGCCGGGUUGAUUGUGUGGGUUAGACAGAGGUCAUCAGCUGGGUUGAUUCUGCGGGUUAGAUAGAGGUCAUCAGCUGGGUUGAUUGUGUGGGUUAGAUAGAGAUCAUCAGCUGGGUUGAUUGUGUGGGUUAGAUAGAGGUCAUCAGCUGGGUUGAUUGUGUGGGUUAGAUAGAGGGUGUGGGUUAGAUAGAGGUCAUCAGCUGGGUUGAUUGUGUGGGUUAGAUAGAGGUCAUCAGCUGGGUUGAUUGUAUGGGUUAGAUAGAGGUCAUCAGCUGGGUUGAUUGUACGGGUUAGAUAGAGGUCGUCAGCCGGGUUGAUUCCGCAGGUUAGAUAGAGGUCGUUAGCUGGGUGUGUGGGUCCCAAGGCGUGCUGCAGAUGGAGAAUCAGAAUUCCUUGGGCAUCACCGGGCGGGGCAUGUCCCUGUCCCUUCGCUCCCAGACCCAGGCUAGCCGCUACCAGGACUCCUAUCGAGAGCUCUUCAGACACUUUGUCAGAACCCUUAAAGGUGGGUGACGUUUUCAGGAGGAACCUGGGAUGUCCUGAUGCUCAAUGGGUAGAUGCCUUCCAGGCUGCAGUCAGUGCAGAUGAUAUGCCAAUUUCAGGUGGAAAAUUGCAUUCCAGAUACCGGGUUCAGAUUUGAAAUUGUCCAUCUCAGUGAUCAUUUACGUUGCGUGUACUUGAGGGAGAUUCUGAGAGAUGCUCCUUUGGGGUUCUGUGCGUGUACCAUGUUGCCUGACACGUCCUGAGAAAUCUUCUUAAACUCUGAGUUUAUAAAAUAACUACUUCUGAACUCCUGAGAUCUAGUGGAUACCAUGUAUCCUGGAAGAUAGGACACUUUCUACCCUCUGUCAGUCCUGGGGGUGACUGGGAACCAGAGAGGUUGAGCAGAAUUCCUGGACCUGGGUGGGGCUUGUCCAAGAGGGGCAGGUGGGCCUCUCUAGGAUCAGUGUCCCACCCAGAGGCCAGUGGCCCCUUCACAUGCCCCAACAAGAGGAAGACUGUCUGGCUCCGCAGUGUUGGGUUUUGUCCUGAAUCUGUGCAAAUGUGCAGGGAAAUAACCUCCUGAAAUCACCAAAGAGCAGUUCCUCAGGGCCUUCCGGGUGACCGUGGCCGUGGAGCAGUCGUGGUGAAACCGGUCAGCUGUGGACCUGCCCUGCGAAUCGGCAGAGGCCUCCGUGGUGAAGACAGAAGCUCCGUGAACCAACUCGAGGCUGGAGCCAAGAUCCUGCCUGAUAUCCAGUUGCCUGUUUCACUUGUUACUGUUACUGGGAGAGGGAGACAAAACCUCAUGGCAAUCUUGUCCUCACUGGAGACUCAGAAGGGGAAGCAUUGGGAAACCAUGUAUGUUUCAUUUCUGGUUUAACCAGGCUUUUCAGGAUGGGACUUCAGACCAAGGACACAAGUUGGGCUUGCUUAGGUGUUUUGUGUUGUGCGCAGGCCUCAGAGAUGCUCUUCCGGUCAGAGUUCCCUUGGCAGGGCCUUGGAGGCCUCUGGUUGGCUCUCUCAGGAAGAGGGCAGGUCAGGGAUUGGGCGGUGUAAAUUGACUCAGAAACCUGCGGUUUCAGCUUUUCUGUGGCAAACAGGGCCGAGGGCUGGUGAAGCUGUUAAGGCUAAAUGUCGCAUGCAUGAGGCGGGCUGCAGGCCUCCUUAGGCCUUUUUUGGGGUAAUUACACCAGUAUUUAAAAACAUUUUUUUUUGUUUGUUUUGAGAUGGAGUCUUGCCCUGUCACCCAGGCUGGAGUGCAAUGGUGCGAUCUCGGCUCACUGCAACCUCCGUCUCCCAGGUUCAAGCGAUUCUUCUGCCUCAGCCUUCUGAGUAGCUGGGAUUACACGCGUGUGCCACCACGCUCGGCUAAUUUUUGUAUUUUUAGUAGAGAUGGGAUUUCACCAUGUUGGCCAGGCUGGUCUCGAACUACUGACCUCGUGAUCCACCUGCCAUGGCCUCCCAAAGUGCUGGGAUUACAGGCGUGAGCCACCAUGCUCGGCCUAAAAAACAAUUUUCUUGAAGAAUCCGAUUUUGUGCAUAGUAAUGACACAGCACCAUUCCUGAGAAAUAGGAAAUAUAUGUGUGUGGUAUGAAAAGCCCAUAUUCUGUUCUUGUCACCUGAAUCUAGGCUUCCUCUUUGGAUGUGAACGCGGGAAUGAACAGUGGCUGUUUUCCACCCAAAGGGGCGUGGAGACCUUUUGGAAACGGGCUUUCUCCUUUCCAUUUUGCAGCCGGGGGCGGGUGGAAACCUUCCUUCGAAGGGUAGUGCCUUGGGGAGCAGCAGACCUGCUCUGAGUCCAGCUUAGCUUUCCAAAAUUCUGUGUGGAACUUACUGGAGAUGUUUUUAUAUAUUUGAAAAUAAUGGCCUGUAUUUCUCACGCUAUACUUAAAAAAAAUAACUAACCUUUUAAACAAAGAUAUUCAAACUCACCCUUGUGCUGAAAGCACUCACAUUUCUGUGUUCAUUCCUGAAAGGGCGUUUUAGAGUCCCCGUUUCUACGUUCUAUGUGGCACCCUCUUGCCGAGGGAACAUCCAGAAUCCCUCCACUUCCUGUCUAGUUUGAGGCCUCAACACCUUCAUGAUCCAGAGUCCUGCGGCUAUGAGGGGGUGGGCCCACCACCGCCCAGCCCUCCUUGGUGGACGUGGGGACAG